GAGCAGGAGCCCCGGGGGCCAGUCAGAGCUGGGUAGCCGUGCCAACCCCAUUGGAGAUGUAUGUUUGAAGAUAAUCGUAGGAAAUCCUCCACCCAACCCAGAGAAACCCUUUCCUGGUCAGCAGCAACCCUGGAGUACCCUACUACCUGACAGGUGGGUUGUACAGGCCCACUCAGGCUCUGACAUGGGCUUUGAUGGACUUCUCCCAAACCAUAGCUAGGGUCAAGGCCAUCUAAAUUCCUGACAAUUCAGAAACGGAGUUACUCUCCUAUGAUGAAAUUAACUCUGAUGACACAAUGAUCCUAUCAUGGUGGUCUGGGGUCAGGGGGGCUCACGGUUGUUGAGUGGUGUGUGUGAGGCAGGACCAGGAGGGCUCACGGUUGUUGAGUGGUGUGUGUGAGGCAGGACUAGGGGGGGCUCACGGUUGUUGAGUGGUGGGUGUGAGGCAGGACCAGGAGGGCUGACGGUUGUUGAGUGGUGUGUGUGAGGCAGGACCAGGGGGGCUCACGGUUGUUGAGUGGUGUGAGUGAGGCAGGACCAGGGGGGCUCACGGUUGUUGAGUGGUGUGUGUGAGGCGGGACCAGGGGUAGGGGAGUUCGUGUUGGAAGUGUGGUGAGGUGCACAGCUGCAGCCACACUGUCAUUACUGAUCCUCUGGUGGCUGGGAAGAAAGGGGCUCCUUGCCACAUAGGCUGCCCUCC
rnacentral:lncRNA from 1 species